rnacentral:rRNA from 1 species
AAAAUUUUAAAAGUCGAACAGACUUAAUAUUCAAGCUUCUUCACCCAAAAUAUAUUUUAAUCCAACAUCGAGGUCGCAAACUUCUUUAUCAAUAAGAACUAUAAAAAGAAAUUACG